rnacentral:rRNA from 1 species
AAUAGAUACCCUGGUAGUCCACGCCGUAAACGAUGAGUGCUAAGUGUUAGAGGGUUUCCGCCCUUUAGUGCUGCAGCUAACGCAUUAAGCACUCCGCCUGGGGAGUACGGUCGCAAGACUGAAACUCAAAGGAAUUGACGGGGGCCCGCACAAGCGGUGGAGCAUGUGGUUUAAUUCGAAGCAACGCGAAGAACCUUACCAGGUCUUGACAUCCCACUGACCGGUAUAGAGAUAUACCUUUCCCUUCGGGGACAGUGGUGACAGGUGGUGCAUGGUUGUCGUCAGCUCGUGUCGUGAGAUAUUGGGUUAAGUCCCGCAACGAGCGCAACCCUUGAUCUUAGUUGCCAGCAUUUAGUUGGGCACUCUAAGGUGACUGCCGGUGACAAACCGGAGGAAGGUGGGGAUGACGUCAAAUCAUCAUGCCCCUUAUGACCUGGGCUACACACGUGCUACAAUGGAUGGUACAAAGGGCUGCAAGACUGCGAAGUCAAGCCAAUCCCAUAAAACCAUUCUCAGUUCGGAUUGCAGG